rnacentral:rRNA from 1 species
GUGUCAGCAGCCGCGGUAAUACGAAGGGGGCUAGCGUUGUUCGGAAUUACUGGGCGUAAAGCGCGCGUAGGCGGACUGGUCAGUCAGGGGUGAAAUCCCGGGGCUUAACCUCGGAACUGCCUUUGAUACUGCCAGUCUCGAGUCCGGAAGAGGUGAGUGGAAUUCCUAGUGUAGAGGUGAAAUUCGUAGAUAUUAGGAAGAACACCGGUGGCGAAGGCGGCUCACUGGUCCGGUACUGACGCUGAGGCGCGAAAGCGGGGGGAGCAAACAGGAUUAGAUACCCUGGUAGUCCACGCCGUAAACGAUGGGUGCUAGAUGUUGGGGGCCUUUGGCUUCCGGUGUCGCAGCUAACGCGUUAAGCAACCCGCCUGGGGAGUACGGCCGCAAGGUUAAAACUCAAAGGAAUUGGCGGGG